CGCUCCCCGGGCAGCCUCCGCUCCCCUGCACUUGAUAACGCGCUUGUCAAGACUGCUGAGUUGUCCUGACCUCUCCCCGCCGCUGCUAAUUAAGGCUCCGCCGUGACAGUUCAAGUGCCGAGCAUCAAGUUUGCAGAACCAAAGCCUCUAAUUGGGGCCGCUUUUCAUUUCUCCAUCCCCAGGGCUGGGGCUCCCCAGACCUGGGCACUGGCGCAUUUUCUUUUGUAUUUUUCAUCAGGGAGGAGGGGGAGAAGGAAGACAGGCACCAGGAGAGGAGGGCAGGCAACCAACCAACAAGCUGAGGGUAGGGAGGGUGGAGGGCCCCCUCCUGCCCAGCAAAAGCCAGGUGGCGGCCACAGGACACCUCCCUACCAGACGACCUGACAUCGCUUCUAACCCAGGGGUCUCUGAGCUCCCUGACCUAGGGCUUUAAGGAGCUGAGCCCAUCCCCCAGGAGGAGACUGCAGGGGGACCUCCUGACACCGUGUGCUCUGGCAAGGAGGGGCAGACCCGAGACUGGGUGCUGGGGACAGAGGGUGUGUGUAGCUCCGGUGCCCACAGCCCUGCAGAGCACAGCCUCCCUGCCCCUGUGGGGAGGUGUGCUCAGCCUCGCGCCCCACUCCCCGGGGGCCUGCUGGCCUCUCCUUUCCAGAUAAGUGCUGUGAGCACCGAGGCUCUAAGUGACUCUUCAAGCUGCCUUUCUCCUCCACCGCCUACUAAAUCAAGCUGCGCUGAGAGCCAUGGGCUGGGAGGAGAGCAGGAAGGAGGGGCAGGGCUGCCUGCCGCUCUCAGGAGCUGGGGAGGGGUGAGGGCUGGGAGAAGGUCCGGGAGGAGGGGAGGUGAGGAGGGGGCCCAGCCGCGGGGAUGGAAUAGGGGAGCUGCAGGAGAUCUAGUGAGGCUGGCUGGCCAGGCCUCUCAGCUCUGAAUCCUGGAGCUUCACGCAGCACGGGGAUUAUGGCUAUCCCAGCCCACCGACUGCAGCCUGAGAAUUCCAGGUGAUCCUAAUUAAAGGGGUGGGGGCUUUCAUUUGAGCCACUACCCAGGCGAUUCUUAUGACAAGUCAAGUUUGAGAAACAACCAUGUACACCAGGGGGUCUCGAACCCCUCGCAACAGAUUAGAACCACCUGGGUGCUUUUAAACCACAGCGCCCCCUCCCCCCCUUGCGUGGGCCUGCCCCCAGACCAAUGACAUCACACCUCUGGGCAUGGACCCAGCCAUUGGUAGUUUCUAAAGCUCCCUGGGGGCUUCCAGUGCGCAGCCAAGGUAGAGAUCCUUUGUUCCAAACCAGUGGCUCUCAAAGGGGGAGUGGGGGUUGUCCCCCAGGGCAUAGUUAGCAACCAGUGUCUGCAGACAUUUUUGAUUGACACAACUGGGGGUCACAGCGCUGCUGGCACCUGGUGGGUAGAGGCCAGGGAUGCUUCUCAACACCCUCCAGCAGACAGAACAGCCUCCAAACCAAUGAAUCAGCCAACCCCAAAUGUCAACAGUCCCAAGGUUAAGAAACCCAGGGUGAGCCAAUCCCCCACCAGGCAAAGGCCCUUCAGGAACUGUCCUCCACUGCGCCCAGCUCAGGGCUUGCCCGAAGCAGGUGCUCCCUAAGGGUGUGGGGAGAGAGGGUCCCUGGGUCUCCCUUCCCACUCCAGAGCUCACUCCUUCCCACCCGGCUGGCUGCCGUCAGCCUGUGACUGUUACAAUUGCUUCCUGUGUUGAGCUGAAAUCUCUUAACUUCUACCCCACUGGACCAAGCCCUUUCCCAUCUGUCAUCAGACUUCACGUCCUGAUUUGCAGCCCACUCUCACGGUCCCCUGGGUCUGAACUGCUCUGGCAGACUCUCCCCACCCCCACCCUGGCUUCCUCAGCUCCUUCUCCAUUGCCGUCCCUGGUUAUGGGACGUUCUUUGGCCUGUAAACAACCUCCUUAAAGUGCAAGACCACAGGACCGUGUCUGCGCAUGGGUGCUCCGCCCUGGCCUCCCACAGCCCCCGUCUCUUCAAGUCUUGGAAGUGACAUUAGCUCGGGCAAGGAGAGGUCACUGCCGGCUCUUGCCCAGCUUGGAGCAGCCGAGGCCUCAUUCACCCGAACCCCUAACAAGUGACGUCGCCCACUUUCUGCCUGUCAGUUUACUUUUGAAACGAAGUGCUGGGCUUUACAUGAACUACCUUACAUUUUGCCAAGUGCUUUCUUCCCAUUGUCUAGCAGAUUAGCAAGAUAAUGUGGUUUCCAAGGCCAAAUCGUCCAGCGUCCCUCUCUUGAGGGUAAGCCCUGGUGGUCACCCCUGCUCGACGGGACAAUUCGGGAAGUUUAAGAAAAUACCAGGCUGGGCCGCACCCCUGAGCAGUUGUAUCAGAAUCUCUGGAGAAGGGGGUCCAGGUAUCAGUGUGUCUCAAAGCCCCCCGGGUGGUUCCAAGAUGCAGCUACGGCUGAGAAGGCUGCUGGAAGGAUCAGGGACUCAAGGCCUCCUCCAGGCCAGCCCGUUUGACCUUGAACACACUUGGUGUUUCAGGCUGGAGUGUCUGUAGGGGAGUGUUUAUCUGGUCAAGGGAUGUGGGCCAGGAGAUUGCAUCCCCCAGGACAUCGUGUCCUUGCUCAUCGGAGGCCAGGCGCUGGGUGAAGGUAUGUGCACUGCGGGGCCCUGGGGGCUCAUGCACCCCAGCAGAAGGACAGGAUCACAGGGAACAGGGUCUGCUUUCUGGCAGAAAUGCUUUGAGAAGCUCCUGAGAGGAGCCAGGAGCCUGGACUGAGAUCCAACCAGGCCAUCCACUCACUGCGUGAGCUGGGGGAAUCGCUCAGCUUCCCUGGGCGUCAGCAACCCCCUCUGUGAAGGAGGGGUGAAUGCCUGUUCAGCCUUGCACAAAACAAGUGCUCAAGACCAAAGAGAGAAAGCCUCUGGGAAGGGAAAACAAGUCUUAACAGUGACUUGCCCGAGGCCACGUAACUUUCAGGGCCUCAAUAUACUCCUCUGCAGGGUGGGCAGACUGGGUUCAGUGACUCCGUGGAGUCCUCUACCUCUAAUCCAGCCCUUGGCAUGAACUAACAGAUCUUAGCCACUCCACACUAAGCACAUAGGCAAAAGGGACCAGGCAGAGCAUGGAAAUGGAUGCCCUGGUCUCUCUGGAGUGAAAGGGCAGCUGAGUGGUUUGUGCUUUAAGCCCCUAACAGCCAAUGGGAUGGUGAUGGGAGCCAACAAGAGCCCAGGGAAAAGGGCUGCCAAGUAUAGUCGUCCAGAUUGUUCACUGCACAAGAGCUCCUGGAGGAAAUGGCAAGCGGGAGCUGAAACCCAAAGUCACUCUACUCUUCAACAACCAGCUGGGCACGGGAUGGGUCUGCCUGAAGCAAGGGGUGCCUUCUAAUUUGCACAAAGGAGCCAUAUGGGCUGGUGGUGGCUCUGUGGAGGGGCACCCACAACUCCUGCCUGCAUGCAUGUGGAGACACAGAGGGUGCCUGGGGGUGGCGUUUGCAAUUGGCACGGUGGUUGUUCUAGAUAGAAUCUGCCUGCCUCUGACUUCACCCCGAUGCCAUCUUUCUGGGUGAAUGAGCACAGGCGGCGUCAGAGGCCACUGUGUAAGCAGAGGAUGAUGAGCCGAGGCACCACAGGCAGCAGCCGACGGAAAGUCUCAGUCCCUGCCAAGGCCCUAGGCACAGGGUGGCAGGAGCGAAAGCGGCCAAUACUCCUGAGAGUGGGGAGGGCACUGCUUGCCCCACCCAGACCUGCGGGCAGGUGGCACGGUUUAUCCAGAGCAGGGAGAUAGGUACCUCCUUGCUGAAGGUGAAGGAACACAGCUCCCCUCUGGCCUUAGAUGGAGGGUUAGCAGUAGAAAGAGGAGGCCCCAGGCUCCCUGAACCCAAAGUGACUCUAUCCCUCCUGCAGCACAGGGGACCUCAUACUUUAAGAAGCACCAGGAUCCCCAGCAGUGCUGGGGAGGACACAGCCUUGCUCUGCCACCCAGCGUUUCUCAUUUAGCAGGUCUGGGGCGGGGCCUGAGAAUCUGCAUUCCUAAUGAGUUCCCAGGACAACCCCACUUUGGGAACUGCUGCUGUGGUGUGAUAGCCACCCGCAAUGUGGAAGCCCCUGCCACUGGCCAGUAGGGCAUCAACAGGAGAUUCCCCUGGCCCCUGGGCCUCCAUGCCCAGCUCAACCAGCCUCUCCAUCUGGGCAUCCUGGUACCUGGGACAGGGCCUCCAUCUCUCCAUGCCCCCUUCCAAUGCCCUCCUGCUAGGGCAGUGUCUGCUCAGCUCUGGCUGCCCUGGGGUGCAUCCUUCAGCUCCAGCUGUCGAGGGCUCCCCUCCAGGCACCUGCACCUGAAGGCCCAUUCCUCCAAGCAGGGCCUCAUUUACCUGUGGCCUUGAAGCUUCUACCUCAGCUGUGUCCUUGGGCUGCACUCCUCCCUGCUCCUUGAGGGCAGGACUGUCUGCCUUUUCUGAAGUGUCCCACGGCAUCCAGCCGGGAGCGAGGCAGGGGGUCCCCAGAGCUGCAGGGGGUCCAGAAAUGGCUGGCCCACUUCCAAGUGCUGGGAGGCCAGGUCAGUGCCGGCUGGUGCUGCAGAGGGGCCUCUGAGGAAGCCCGGAGCAGAUUGUAGGGUUUGGGGAGUCAGAUCACACCUGAGCACCUCACUAGAAGACAGCAACCAGGGUGCACCAGGAUGGGGUCACUGCUGUGUGCCUCAGUCUCCUUACAUGUAAAAUGGGGUCAAUAAUAGCUACUUCAAUCUCAGAGAAGGUAUGAAAAUUACACACCACCAAUGCUACCACAUCUCAGGAUCGAAUGAGGCAGUGUAUGGAAAGCCUCCGCACAGGGCCCUGCACACUGCCAGUCCUUAAUAAAUGUUGGUUGCUGUUAUUUUUACUGGAAAGCAGGGUUACCACCAAGCCUUGGUUAUAUUCUCCCCACAUUCAGGGUGGCUCCCUCCACCCCUACAGCCUGCCACUCUGCCCAGCCGGGCUGAAGCUGGAUGCCCGUAGGACAGAGGGUGGGGGUGCAAUCACCCCCAAGUCUCCUUCCUGGGGCAUGAGGACCUGGCUGGCAGCUUCACCCAACGAGGCAGGGGGUGCUGUGUGCAGGUAGCCUGGGGCCCUGGAGGAGCCCGUCCAGCCCUUGCCCUGCUCUCUGCAUGCCUGAGCUCAGCCUCCACCAGGUCCUGGGACGAUGACACAUCUCAUCACCACGAGGGAGACUGUGAAGCCUGCUGUGCCAACCCUACCGGACAGAGAAACCCAGGAUGAUCUGUAUCCCUGCCCCAGGUCAGGGACCAUCAGAGACAGCCUCUCCCCUGCAGUGGGCAAAUGCUGGGACUCAUGGCCAGGCUGACAGCUGCGGUCCAGUCUGGGGGGAGUCUCGCUGUCCCCCAUCUGCCAGCUCAGGGUGGAGAUGGACAUGCUCCCUUCUCUCCUCCCAGAGCAUCUUCCUUGCUCUGGGUUCCUGACCUUGCCCAGAUAAGCUCUGACGGGGCCUCUGCCCUUCCACUCUCCUCAUCCUUAUCUGGCUAUGUGCAAUGCAAUCCUGGCAGCCUCUAGGGCAGACCCCGCUGCCCUUUCUUUUGGGGUCAGAGGAAAGCGGGAGGCAGGAACUGCCUGGCUUACCCCCACAGCCACCCCGAGCAGGCAGUGAUCUCAGGAUGCCUACUGCUGAGGUUCAUUUAUCAGAAGAUUCUUUCGAGCCCCCAGAAAGGAGGCUGCGGAAGCCCUUGGUCAGCUCUUCUGUCGGGAGUUGGUCUCUUGUGACUUAGCAAGGCAAGGCCCGUUUUGUCCUGGGCUGUGCUGUGAAUGGCAUCUUCUUUGAAAACACAGCCUGCCGGUGUCUCUCCUGUGAGUCCCACCGUCCCUGGCAAUGGCGGGGCUUGGGAGUGUGGCGGGGCACAGAGGGCAGGUUCUCCCCGCCAGGACCCUGAGUCGCCACAGCAGCCUCCUAGCGGGCCUCUCACCCACCAGCGCUCACCCUGCUGCAGCCUCCCUCCCUGGAAAUGCUUAAUCUUCUUUAAAUACCACUUAGCUGCCUCAAGUCCCUUCUGGAAGCAGAGCAAAAAUGGCAGACCACACACACACACACACACACACACACACACACACACACACACACACACACACACACACACGGCAGGAAAAUGACCCUCCCCUCCCUGUCCUCAGGGUGCUUGGGGAUUUGCAGCGGGGUCCUGGUCCCUACCACACCACCCCGGACUUCGUGGCAGUGUGAAAUGGUGGGCUGCGUGCUGCUGAAGGUACAAGCAAUUUGGAAAUCCCAGAGCAUAAUCUGGAAGGCAGAGGGUGGUAGAGAUGGCUGAGCUCUCAUGUUCCAGAACAAGCUCAAAGGGUCCCACCUCCAAGCGCUUCCUCUCACAGGGCCUCCCCACUGGAAUGCCCUCUCUCUCUCCCACUUUGCCUCACUGGAUUCUGAUGCCCCAGCUCCACUGCUUCUCAAAGCCAAAUGUAAUGCUGAUGACAGACCCCCUUUGCACCCCACGACAAUAUACCAGGGGUCUGGCCCAGGUGUCCUCCAAAAUACUGUCCUACCCCUCGGUGACCCUCCUCUGAACCAGGACUGGGUGAACUCAGGGAGGCACAGCUUCCUCUGGACACAGAUGAGGAUGAGUUGAGAGGGAGGGCCAGCCACUCAAGUUCAAAUCCUAGCUCUGUUACUUACAACUGGGUAUCCUGGGGCAAGUCAUUAACCUCUCUGAGCCUUAGUUUCCUCGUCUCUAAAAUAAGGAUGCUAUGAGUUUAUUCGCAUUUGUAAGGCACACAAAGCGGGGCCUGACCCCAGAGGUGGGGGUGGGUCCCUGGGAGGGAAGGGCAUUAGGCCAGGAUGGGAGUUAGGCAGCAGGAUGGGCUCCAUGCAGGCGUGAGAGUGGAGAGAGAGCGUGACGCUUUCACCCCCAGACAGCUGCCUGCACGUGGAUGGGUCACAUUCCCCCCAAGCUUGUCAGAAACUGAGAGCAGAACUCCCCAAUGUGGGAAGUCUUGGCCACCUGAAGUCUCGUGCGGGGGAGGCAGCUUGCAGCGCGCCAGGCUCCCUGAGUCUGUCUCUGAUCUGAGACUGAGCCAUCAAUUCCAAACGGGGCUGAGUUGCAGCCCAGAUAAUCGGGGUCCCCCAAAUGAGCAGAGGCUCUGCUUGCCCUUCUGUUUCCUGGGUAGCCGCUAUAAACCCACACCGGCCUGAGCAUGGGGUGUGAGGAGGGGACCAUGGGGUCUGCUGUUACAACACCCCAGCUUCAUCCCCAGCCCUACACUGGGUGGAGUUUCUUUUUUCUUUUCUUUUCUUUUCUUUCUUUCUCUCUCUCUCUCUCUCUCUCUUUUGUAAUGCCAGGUCUUGCUCUGUCUCCCAGGCUGGAGUGGCAGUGGCACAAUCUUGGCUUACUGCAGCCUCAAACUCAAGCGAUCCUCCCGCCUGCCUCCCCAGUAGCUGGGAUUACAGGCAUGUGCCACCACGCCAGGCUGAGUGGAGCUUCAGAGUCUCUGUUUCCUCUCCUGUGAAGAGGGACCCUGGGUCACCUUGGAGGAGAAUGAGGCCCUGCUCUGAAUAACCAUCCAAUCUGCAGGUGUUUAUUGCAGCCGCAGGGCGCUGCUCAGGCCAUCACCCCAACCCGCUCCUCUGAUGCUUACGAAGCCUCGUGGGAUGCACCCGUGUCCCCAUUUACGGAGGAGGAAACAGAACAUAAGGUGCCUGCACAGAACCUGGCACCCAGGAGGUUGAGUUACGGCUCUCCAGAAAGAUCUGUCCAUACCCUCACCCUCCGCACCUGGGCAGGCGACCUUAUUUGGAGGCAGGGGCUUUGCAGAUGUGAUUAACUUAAGGCUCCUGAGAUGAGCUCAUCCUAGAUUAGGGUGGGCCCUAAACCUAGGGAGGAGUGCCGUUCUAAGAAACAGAGAAGGAGACGUGGACCCAUAGAAGGCUGCAUGAUGAUGGAGGCAGAGCCUGGAGUGACGCGUCUACACGGCAAGGAGUGCCAAGCCUCCUUGCCAAGCAUGGCCGGCACCGCCAGCAGCUGGGAGGAAGGCUGGAACAGAUCCUCCGCCAGGGCCUCCACAAGGAACGCGUCCUGCCGACACCUUGACUUUGGACGUCUCCAGAACUGUGGGAGAGUCAGUGUGUGUUGUUUUGAGGCCCCUGGUUUAGGGUGAUUCAUUAUGGCAGCCCCGGGAAACUCAUCCGGCAUCUGCCCAGGAGCCUGGCUGCAUGGAUGCUCCAGGGAAAAUGAGCCCAGCCAAAAGGGCACUGUGGGCUCAGCAGGGGAAACUAAGGCCCACUGGCAAGCCUGGCUGGCCACCCCUCCUGAGCCGUUCUGCCUUGGCUUGGAGCCAUCUGCUGGCCGCUCCCCUGCCGCAUGGGUAGCCCUCCAGGGCCACUGCCACCACCAGGGCUGAGGGCGAGGAACCAAGGGCCUGGGGCAGCCUCGGAGAAGCUCGGAGGGUAUGAAAAUUACACACCACCAAUGCUACCACAUCUCAGGAUCGAAUGAGGCAGUGUAUGGAAAGGCUCCACACAGGGCCCUGCACGCUGCCAGUCCUUAAUAAAUGUUGGUUGCUCUUAUUUUUACUGGAAAGCAGGGUUACCACCAGGCCUUGGUUAUAUUCUCCCCACGUUCAGGGUGGCUCCCUCCACUCCUAGAGCCUGCCACUCUGCCCAGCUGGGCUGAAGCUGGAUGCCCGUGGGGCAGGGGGCGGGGGUGGAAUCGCCCCCAAGUCUCCUUCCUGGGGCAUGAGGACCUGGCUGGCAGCUUCACCCAAGGAGGCAGGGGGUGCUGUGUGCAGGUGGCCUGGGGCCCUGGAGGAGCUCAUCCAGCCCUUGCUCUGCUCUCUGCAUGCCUCAGCUGAGCCCCCACCAGGUCCAAGAGUGCCAAGCAAGUGGGGCCGGCCGAGGUCAGACACCUGGGGGUCCGCCCAGAGCUGGAUGGGGUGCGACCGCCUUGUGCAGAGGGAAAAGGAGGUCUAGAGAGGGAGGGCGCUGGAUGAAGUAGGAUCCCCCCACAGGAAAGGCAGUGGCGCCCCCUCUUCUCAGCCCCCUGAGCUCUAGACUUCAGGACAGGAACUGCCCACCUGAGCCUGGUCUCAUGGGGUGAGGGGCACAAACCAAGCCCUGCCCUCAACAGCUGGGGCUCCAGGAGCCACACCCAGCCCCAGGGUCACCACCUGAGGGACCUGCUACUUCCACCCACCGACCUCCUCCUGAUGAAAGAGGUGCCCUCACACCUAAGCUGGGACCCAGCCCCCACAAGCAGCCCCAUACCCCAACCCUCCCUGCUGCCUUGCUUCCUACGUCCAGCCACCCCGGCAUGCACUGUCACUGCCUGGCACGCCCCAGCGCCCGAUGCUGAGUCCUUUGUACACACUGCGUCCAUGCACCGAGCAAUCUGCCCAGCCUCCGCGGAGGGAAGGGAGGUAGAGGAGGGUGGGCGGGCUGCUCAGGGUCCCCGAGCCACCGUGUGACUUUACCACAGAGCUCCCCAAAACAGCUUUCCUUCACACCCCCAUCAGCCGUGCCAAUGUCUAAAUCUAGAACCUUCCCCCGAUACGGGAGCUGGAAAGGACUGCCUGGCAGUUGCUAACCCCCUGCCCCCAUUUUACAGGUGGGGGACCCAGGCCCAGGAGCUUCCGUGACUCAUCUAUCCAAGAUCACACAAAAUCCUGGUGUCCCUCCGCCCUGGACCGGCAGCGUCGGGGACAGAAAACCAAAACACAGGCAAAUUGCCAAACCACACAGCCAGAGAAGCCAGAAAGCUCCAGGGAGGACCCUCAGUGCCCACAGGGUGGGGUUGGAGGCACCGAGCGACCACCCAGUCCCCCACCCAGCACUGCAGCACUCACCUAGCCCAGCGCCUGGCAGAGGGAAGGGCCCAAUCCCUGUUUGUUCACAGAACGAACGGGGGAGAGAGAACGCCAAUCCACUACCACUGCUGGGAAAGACACCCGGAGUUCUGCACCGCCCACCAGGGGUCUCUCUCCCAGGACCUGUGCUGAGGGUCUCUGGGUUCAAAUCCUUCCCUGAAUUUCAGUGAGGCCUUAAGGAGGAGAAGACCACAGGCCUCCCACAGGUGGGAACAGCCUGGGCCCACUGGGGCAGGGGAUUCCGAGGAAGGAGGCCCUUUGAGAUGCAGCAGCACCCCAGGCUUCCAGGAGAAUCUGCGUCCUUUAGACCAGGGGCUUCUGGGCCCCGCCGGGGUAGCUUUGAAAAAUCCCAGUGGCCUUGCCACAGUCCCAGAUCAACCAACUUAAAAGUCUGCGUGAGUAUGGCCUGGCCAUCUGCAUUUGUUAGAGUCUGUCCCUAGGUGAUGCCCUGAGCUGCCAGACAGAGGGAGAGGUGGGGGCCAGAGUGGGAACACACAGGCUCAGCACCCGCUGUUAAUUACCGGGGCCCACUGGCACGUCCCAGCUCAUGAGGGUUGGGUAAAUAAAUAAAUAACCGCGCUGGCAGGGCCAUCAAACAUCAUCACAUUAGGGACGCGAGGAGUCAGACAGCUUGACUCUCAAAACAUAAUCGGCUUAAUUGCGGGGCCCCGAUGCAGGCCAGGGUGGCAAACGGCUUCAGCACUCCCAUUCGUUUCAUUAAAAUCCAAUUAUUCGCGCCGGACACGGGUCUCUCUGGCGGGGACAAAGAUGCAUCUUCAGCCAUGGUCUAACCUGACACCGAGACACGGACCUUGGGUGGGGACGCUUCUUGCUUACAGCACAUGGACCCAGUCUCCCUGGAACCAGAAACUCGGAGACAGGAUCAGAGAAGUCAAGCGAUCUCUCCAAAGUCACACAGCAGCGAUCCAAACCCCAGGCAUGCUGGCCCCAGUGCCCCCAGCUCACAACCACUACACCUGGCCCCUCCUCAAAGGCUACCAGUGUUUCCUGAAUGCAUCUCAGCUGGGCUGGGAACAAGGCAUUUGGGCUUCAUAAGCGUCCAUUCCGGAAGAGAGGGCAGGAGCUGCCGCCCACUCCGAUUUCCAAUCAAUCUCACUUGGCAAGCGUUGCUUACUUCAUCUGGGCCUAUGGAAAUUGGAUUCUCAGGUGACCCUGUGGCCAAAGGUGGCCAGACAGGGCCACGACCGCAGCCGGAUCUGGGAGCCGGGGCUCUGAUCUUCCCCGCCCCCCAUGCGGCCUCGGCCCAGCUGCCGGCUGCCAUCCCAGGGAGGCCCUGAGGUUUCCCAGCCAUCCCUUGGCUUUGUUUUUCUGGGCCCUUCCAGGCCCAGAACCAUCCAGAAAAGUCGGUUAGGCCAGGAACAGCUGCCUGGCGCCUCUUGAAUGGCUCAGAUGUGGUGCGCGGUGGGGCCCCAAGCCAAUACACUGCCACUAGGUGAAACGGGCACCAUUAGAGUCACAAAGACCAAUUAAAAUGAGAGGAAAAACAGCCUUCCGUUCUCCCAGGGCACCCCGGCCAGCUGCUCCCUGCUCCCACCUCACUGGCCCCAGGGGCUGCUCCCGGCCCGGUUUCCAGCCCGGCUCCCUCCUGCGCCCGGCCACCUGCCUUUGACAGAGUCAAUAUUGACGCCUGAGAGGCCUCCUGCUCAGGCGAGUGAGGGCUGAGCGGGUGGAGGGGCGGGGAGAGGCAAACAGCUCCUGGAUUUUCGACUCAAUUGCUGCGCGUAGAGAUGAGAAAUUGCCUUUCUGACCCAAAACCGGAGUUCACAGCUGCACUUCAUUACCGAUUUCUCCAGGAGGCCCUGGGAGAGGCUCGGCUCGGGAAGGGCUCACCUGUUAGCAGCAGCUGCCGCCUGCCUCUUUCAUAAACACGUUGGUGGUUUCCUGCCCCGGGUUGCAGGGCCGGGGAUGUGGGCGGCGUGGGGCGGGCUGCCAGUGGUGCCCCCGGAGCCCCCCUCCAUCGCCCCUGCCAGUUUGCAUUAACUUGGCAGAUGGAGGGAGGAAGAGGCGCCAGAUAAGCGUGCAGGAGGGACAGGAAAUGGCCACAGGGUCGGCUCUGCUCACUUUAGAAGGGACCAGAAGGUGAGAGCACAUCUUCCCCCUGGGGUCCCGCCUCAUCUCUCAGUCUCAUGUCCACUGCACAGGGCUAACAAUAGCAUGACAGGUGACUGGAGCAUCUCCAGGUACACAGUAGGCACUCAGCAAGCACUCUCUCCCCUCCUGGCUUGCAGCUGGCCUCUCUGCUUUUGAAACACCACCGUUCGGUAUCUGGUCAUCACUCAAAGAGCACAGGGUCUUGCACCCCAGGGGUCUUCCACCCUGGCUGCACAGCAGAAUCAUCUGGAGAGCUUCCGGAAAGAUCCCGAAGCCCAGCUGUACCCCAGAAUCCCUAAGCUUGGGCCCAGGUAUGUUUCCAGAGCUCCUGGGCAGCUGGAACACAAAGCGAGGCUGAGACUCUCCGUCUGGGAUCAUUAUUAUCUGGAUCUUCAAGUCUGCACAUCCUUUUCCAGAGAAGGUGAUGCGGGCAGGGCAGGCGGAGGAGCCCAGAGCUGGGUACACGACUGGGAGGAGGCAGAGGGCUGAUGAGCCCUCGCUGGCUGCCAGGUGCCCUACGCUUCCUUCCCAGCUCUGCUUCUCCCUCUGCCAUUAAGAUUUGCAAUCCUGUCCCCUACACUAAGCCACAGCAAGCCCUGAGGUAUCAGCAGCUGCCUCGAGUCGCCCACCAGGAGCUGGCAGUGAGAAGCUGUGUGACCCUGGGCAAGUCACUUGAGCUCUCUGGACCUUUGCUGAUGAGGCUGGAGACUGAACCAGAUGGCCACUGAGCUGUGUGAAAGGCACCUCAGGGUCUGACCUCACACCUAAAGGUGCAGGUGGCUGCUCCCUUUGGAAGCCUCAGCAGCUCACUGCCAGUCUUUCUUCUCAAUUCAGCCUCCACUGCUGGGUACCUGGGUGAUCCUACAGAAGCUCCGAGCCCCACAGAGCCUCCGUGGCCUCAUCUGGUUAGUGGGAAGAUGUGACACCUCACAGGGUUGCUGUGAGGGUGAAAUGAGGAAACAGGCACGGAGCAGGCGCCUGGCCCAUGAUGGUGACAGCUGGUGACAGCUGGUAUGUGCUGAGCACCUGCGUGAGCCAGCUCCGUAGCCAACCUGAGUCCUCCGUCCUCACAGCGCACCAGUGUGGCUGGUUCCUUUAACUGCCCCGUUUUUCAGAUGAGAAAGUCAAAGUCCAGAGAGGUCAUCUGCCCAAGGUCAAGUGGUGAAUCUGGGACUUGAACCCUGAACUGUGAACCCCAGCUCCUGGCCACCACGUGUUUAUAUGAGCCUUCUUCCAGUGCCUUCUCAGGGCCACUGGGGCCUCAGAGUAGCCAAAAGAGUGGUCCAAGAAAGAAUCCUUGUGCGGAAACAGGGCCCAGACCACGGAGGGCUGGGGGUGCUGCACACUCCUAACUAGUGCCUUCUUGCUUGCAAAGCAGGCAAGGUGGGCCCGGCAUGGCCCCAGGUGCUGGGAGGGCCCAUGACACGGAGGCCCAGAAAGCAGCAGGGCAGAGGGCCCAGAGUGAGAGGCCCGAGCAGGGUCACUGCUCAGGGCAGGCUGCUUUGUGUCCUGGCUCAAAAUAGAGGCUCAGCUCAAGGCGUGUGGCCCAUGGAGCACCCGACAUUGUGCUGGAGGGGUCGGACGAGCCAAGCUGAAGGGCAUGGGGGUGCAGGGAGCAGGCACACAGAGCAGGAGGAGGGUGUGCCCGUGCAGAGGGAACGGAAGGCCAGAUGGGGACAGCGGGAGCGGGGUUGCGGGCCCUGGGAGGAACCUCGGGAAGCUCCAGUGAGGAAACGGAGCCUAAGACAGAUGAGCCAACCUGCCCAACGCACCCAGGAAGCCAAGCGGAACAGGACGCAGGCUACCGCCUCCACCAUGCCCGCUCUUCCCUUGUUCCUCCGUUCCCCAGGGCUGAGCUCCAACACACGGUAGGUCUCCCUGCCAUGCAGGCAGAGAACCCGCUCGAUGGCGUCUACUGAGCCACCCACACCCCAUAGGGGUCGAGCCCCACCCCGGGCUACCCUCUGCUCUCCACUCCUGCUGCCGUCCUUCCACAUGAGCCCGGUCAUCGCAGAACCCAGAGCCAACGCUGGGCCCACCGGGGGCUCCUGGCAAACAGGAGAGCCACCAGCAAUGCCGAGUGGGGGGACAUCACCCACCCAUGCCUAUCACGUGCCAGGCGUUGGUCCAAGAGCUUACAGCAGAUCGUCUCCAGCACUAUGAGGUUCAGUUCUGUUUUUAUCCCUGCUUGACAGAAGGGGAAACCGAGGCAGAGAGCAUUGCAGCUACCGCCCAAGGUCUCACAGCUGAGAGACCAUGAGGUAGUCAGACCAUCUGGUCCCAGAGCUCCCACGUUCAACUGAUGAGUGGAGGACACAGCAGAGGCCUUGUUGUCCUGGGAAAUACAGGUCCUCCGGGGAACAGGCCCCGACGUCGCAGAGCUGAGGCCAAACAGCUCCCUGCCUGGUGGGAUGCCAGGGCCAGGCGGGGCUCUCUGGAAGCAAUCAUACUACCAAUCAGGCUGCUCAUGGCGCUGAUACCAGCAGCUAAUGUUUACAGAACGCUCACUGUGUGUGCACCCAGGCACUCUUCCAAAUGCUACACGCACAGCCGUUACCCGUGGAACCUCCCAAGCCUGUUAGGUAAAUGCCAUUAUUUGCCCAUUUCACAGAUGGGGCACUGGCAGCACAGAGAGGUUAGGACACCCGCCUGAAGACACACAGUUACUAGGUGACAGUGCCGGGAUGUGAACUCAUCAGCCUGACCCCAGCGAGCUGCAAGGCGGGCCCCCAGCAGAAAUCCCACAAGGGCAGCAUGGCUGCAGGGGCCAAUGGGAGCAGGCCAGCCACCCACCAGGGCGGCUGGGGGGAGCUCUCCCUCGAGCCAGGAGAGGGCUGCUGCUGCUGGCGCGCUCCCCGAGAGGCCAGGCCUUGCAAGGGAAGCAGAAAUCUGUCGUUAACACAGUGCCAAACCCAAAGUGGCUGCUCCCAAACUGCAAUCCAAUAAAAGUGCGACUUGUCUAUUUAUCA